CCUACGGGUGGCAGCAGUGGGGAAUAUUGCACAAUGGGGAAACCCUGAUGCAGCGACGCCGCGUGAGUGAAGAAGUAAUUCGUUAUGUAAAGCUCUAUCAGCAGGGAAGAAAAUGACGGUACCUGAGUAAGAAGCCCCGGCUAACUACGUGCCAGCAGCCGCGGUAAUACGUAGGGGGCAAGCGUUAUCCGGAUUUAUUGGGUUUAAAGGGUGCGUAGGCGGACAGUCAAGUCAGCGGUAAAAAUGCGGUGCUCAACGCCGUACAGCCGUUGAAACUGGCAGUCUUGAGUGGGCGAGAAGUAUGCGGAAUGCGUGGUGUAGCGGUGAAAUGCAUAGAUAUCACGCAGAACUCCGAUUGCGAAGGCAGCAUACCGGCGCCCGACUGACGCUGAGGCACGAAAGCGUGGGUAUCGAACAGGAUUAGAUACCCUUGUAGUC
rnacentral:rRNA from 1 species